AAGUCGUAAACAAGGUUUCCGUAGGUGAACCUGCGGAAGGAUCAUUAACACGUAUCCAACGUUAAAAACACCCUGUGAACCCGUUAACCUUGCUCCUCGUGAGCAAUCCCUGGUAAAUCAUUGUCUGACCAGAUUUUGAGUCAGGGACUUCUGACGUGACGCGAAGAAUGUUUUAAAUAACAUCUGAGCGGGAUGAUGCGAUUGCGCGCAAGACACUUGUGCCCCCAAGCAACCAUGUUCUGAAAGCGUCAUGGAAGAGUAAGGGUGACGUUGUAACGUUUGAUGUAGGCCCACACGGCCGGCAACAAGUCGCCUGAACCCCGACUCAGGUUCCUUUCACAACGUCUUACUUCGCGAGGACUGAAAGCCUCGCACCAAAAACCGAACAACUGUUAACAAUGGAUAUCUUGGUUCUCGC
rnacentral:misc_RNA from 1 species